GAUGAACGCUGGCGGCGUGCCUAAUACAUGCAAGUCGAGCGAACAGACGAGGAGCUUGCUCCUCUGACGUUAGCGGCGGACGGGUGAGUAACACGUGGAUAACCUACCUAUAAGACUGGGAUAACUUCGGGAAACCGGAGCUAAUACCGGAUAAUAUAUUGAACCGCAUGGUUCAAUAGUGAAAGACGGUUUUGCUGUCACUUAUAGAUGGAUCCGCGCCGCAUUAGCUAGUUGGUAAGGUAACGGCUUACCAAGGCAACGAUGCGUAGCCGACCUGAGAGGGUAACGGCCCACACGAGAAUGAAAACAGGGCCCGCCCUCCGCGGGGAGGCAGAAGGGGGGAUUCGUCGAGAUGGGGCGAAGGCGGGAGGGCGCAGCCCGGCGGGGGUAAGAAAGUUUUUGGGAUGUAAAAACGUUUUUAUGGGGAAAAAAAAAUUGGGAAAGAAAUUAGGCGCUUUUGGAGGGUACUAAAUAAAAAGGCCAGGGCAAACUACGCC
rnacentral:rRNA from 1 species